rnacentral:rRNA from 1 species
GCAGCCGCGGUAAUUCCAGCUCCAAUAGCGUAUAUUAAAGUUGUUGCAGUUAAAAAGCUCGUAGUUGAAUUUCGGGAUCAGCAGGUUGGUCUUGCCACUGGUAUGUACUAGCUUGCUGAUUCCUCCUUCUUGUAGAACCGUAAUGCCAUUAAUUUGGUGUUGCGGGGAAACAGGACUGUUACUUUGAAAAAAUUAGAGUGUUUAAAGCAGGCCAGCGCCUGAAUACAUUAGCAUGGAAUAAUGAAAUAGGACGUUCGAACCUAUUUUGUUGGUUUCUAGGAUUGACGUAAUGAUUAAUAGGGAUAGUUGGG